GAUGAAGAACGUAGCAAAAUGCGAUAAGUAAUGUGAAUUGCAGAAUUCAGUGAAUCAUCGAAUCUUUGAACGCACAUUGCGCCCGCCAGUAUUCUGGCGGGCAUGCCUGUUCGAGCGUCAUUUCAACCCUCAAGCACAGCUUGGUGUUGGGACUCGCGUUAAUUCGCGUUCCUCAAAUUGAUUGGCGGUCACGUCGAGCUUCCAUAGCGUAGUAGUAAAACCCUCGUUACUGGUAAUCGUCGCGGCCACGCCGUUAAACCCCAACUUCUGAAUGUCGACCUCGGAUCAGGUAGGAAUACCCGCUGAACUUAAGCAUAUCAAUAAGCGGAGGA
rnacentral:misc_RNA from 1 species